GAUGAACGCUGGCGGCGUGCCUAAUACAUGCAAGUCGAGCGAACAGACGAGGAGCUUGCUCCUUCGACGUUAGCGGCGGACGGGUGAGUAACACGUAGGUAACCUACCUAUAAGACUGGGAUAACUUCGGGAAACCGGAGCUAAUACCGGAUAAUAUUUCGAACCGCAUGGUUCGAUAGUGAAAGAUGGCUUUGCUAUCACUUAUAGAUGGACCUGCGCCGUAUUAGCUAGUUGGUAAGGUAACGGCUUACCAAGGCAACGAUACGUAGCCGACCUGAGAGGGUGAUCGGCCACACUGGAACUGAGACACGGUCCAGACUCCGACGGGAGGCAGCAGUAGGGAAUCUUCCGCAAUGGGCGAAAGCCUGACGGAGCAACGCCGCGUGAGUGAUGAAGGUCUUCGGAUCGUAAAACUCUGUUAUUAGGGAAGAACAAACGUGUAAGUAACUGUGCACGUCUUGACGGUACCUAAUCAGAAAGCCACGGCUAACUACGUG
rnacentral:rRNA from 1 species